AGUCCAUCAGAUGUGAUUGGGAC
rnacentral:snRNA from 1 species